UCGGGGGUACUCGAGUGGCGAACGGGUGAGUAACACGUGGGCAAUCUGCCCUGCACUUCGGGAUAAGCCUGGGAAACUGGGUCUAAUACCGGAUAGGACCUUUAGGCGCAUGUCUUUAGGUGGAAAGCUUUUGCGGUGUGGGAUGGGCCCGCGGCCUAUCAGCUUGUUGGUGGGGUGAUGGCCUACCAAGGCGACGACGGGUAGCCGGCCUGAGAGGGUGUCCGGCCACACUGGGACUGAGAUACGGCCCAGACUCCUACGGGAGGCAGCAGUGGGGAAUAUUGCACAAUGGGCGCAAGCCUGAUGCAGCGACGCCGCGUGGGGGAUGACGGCCUUCGGGUUGUAAACCUCUUUCACCAUCGACGAAGGUUCGGGUUUUCUCGGAUUGACGGUAGGUGGAGAAGAAGCACCGGCCAACUACGUGCCAGCAGCCGCGGUAAUACGUAGGGUGCGAGCGUUGUCCGGAAUUACUGGGCGUAAAGAGCUCGUAGGUGGUUUGUCGCGUUGUUCGUGAAAUCUCACGGCUUAACUGUGAGCGUGCGGGCGAUACGGGCAGACUAGAGUACUGCAGGGGAGACUGGAAUUCCUGGUGUAGCGGUGGAAUGCGCAGAUAUCAGGAGGAACACCGGUGGCGAAGGCGGGUCUCUGGGCAGUAACUGACGCUGAGGAGCGAAAGCGUGGGGAGCGAACAGGAUUAGAUACCCUGGUAGUCCACGCCGUAAACGGUGGGUACUAGGUGUGGGUUUCCUUCCUUGGGAUCCGUGCCGUAGCUAACGCAUUAAGUACCCCGCCUGGGGAGUACGGCCGCAAGGCUAAAACUCAAAGGAAUUGACGGGGGCCCGCACAAGCGGCGGAGCAUGUGGAUUAAUUCGAUGCAACGCGAAGAACCUUACCUGGGUUUGACAUGCACAGGACGCGUCUAGAGAUAGGCGUUCCCUUGUGGCCUGUGUGCAGGUGGUGCAUGGCUGUCGUCAGCUCGUGUCGUGAGAUGUUGGGUUAAGUCCCGCAACGAGCGCAACCCUUGUCUCAUGUUGCCAGCGGGUAAUGCCGGGGACUCGUGAGAGACUGCCGGGGUCAAAUCGGAGGAAGGUGGGGAUGACGUCAAGUCAUCAUGCCCCUUAUGUCCAGGGCUUCACACAUGCUACAAUGGCCGGUACAAAGGGCUGCGAUGCCGCAAGGUUAAGCGAAUCCUUUUAAAGCCGGUCUCAGUUCGGAUUGGGGUCUGCAACUCGACCCCAUGAAGUCGGAGUCGCUAGUAAUCGCAGAUCAGCAACGCUGCGGUGAAUACGUUCCCGGGCCUUGUACACACCGCCCGUCACGUCAUGAAAGUCGGUAACACCCGAAGC
rnacentral:rRNA from 1 species